AUUCAUACAUGAAAAUGUCCAUAAGUGGAUAAAAGGUUUGUUGGGCCAUGCUAGGGAAAUUUUGACUCACUGCUGCUGAAAAUGUGAUGGAUGUUGUAAGGCUAGAGCUAAUUUAACAUUAAAAUAUCCUUCAUUUGGCUCAGUUUUUGGUCUAUACUUCCUCCGCUUUUAAAUCUAUGCAAAAAUUUAAAUGUAUUUGAUUUAAAUUUGGACUAAAUACAUUUGACUUUUUGUUUAUAUUUAAGGCCGAAGGAAGUAGUAUAUCAAUGAAAUCUUACAUGUCGUUUAUGGCGUCUUCACGGCUAAUCAAUC
rnacentral:lncRNA from 1 species